GACGAACGCUGGCGGCGUGCCUAAUACAUGCAAGUCGAGCGGAUGAAGGAGGAGCUUGCUCCUCCUGAUUCAGCGGCGGACGGGUGAGUAACACGUGGGCAACCUGCCCUGUAGAUUGGGAUAACUCCGGGAAACCGGGGCUAAUACCGAAUAACCCACCGGACCUCAUGGUCUGGUGUUGAAAGACGGCAUCUCGCUGUCACUACAGGAUGGGCCCGCGGCGCAUUAGCUAGUUGGUGAGGUAACGGCUCACCAAGGCCACGAUGCGUAGCCGACCUGAGAGGGUGAUCGGCCACACUGGGACUGAGACACGGCCCAGACUCCUACGGGAGGCAGCAGUAGGGAAUCUUCCACAAUGGACGAAAGUCUGAUGGAGCAACGCCGCGUGAGUGAAGAAGGUUCUCGGAUCGUAAAACUCUGUUGUGAGGGAAGAACAAGUACCGGAGUAACUGCCGGUACCUUGACGGUACCUCAUUAGAAAGCCACGGCUAACUACGUGCCAGCAGCCGCAGUAACAC
rnacentral:rRNA from 1 species